rnacentral:rRNA from 1 species
UAGUGGCGAACGGGUGAGUAACACGUGGGCAAUCUGCCCUUCACUCUGGGACAAGCCCUGGAAACGGGGUCUAAUACCGGAUAACACCUGCCCGGGCAUCCGGGUGGGUUAAAAGCUCCGGCGGUGAAGGAUGAGCCCGCGGCCUAUCAGCUUGUUGGUGAGGUAGUGGCUCACCAAGGCGACGACGGGUAGCCGGCCUGAGAGGGCGACCGGCCACACUGGGACUGAGACACGGCCCAGACUCCUACGGGAGGCAGCAGUGGGGAAUAUUGCACAAUGGGCGAAAGCCUGAUGCAGCGACGCCGCGUGAGGGAUGACGGCCUUCGGGUUGUAAACCUCUUUCAGCAGGGAAGAAGCGAAAGUGACGGUACCUGCAGAAGAAGCGCCGGCUAACUACGUGCCAGCAGCCGCGGUAAUACGUAGGGCGCAAGCGUUGUCCGGAAUUAUUGGGCGUAAAGAGCUCGUAGGCGGCUUGUCACGUCGGGUGUGAAAGCCCG